GUGCAGCAGGCGCGAAAACUUCACACUGUGCGGAAGCACGAUGAGGGAAUCCCAAGUGCUUGCACGUAAGUGUAAGCUGUUUCUCUGUCUAAAACGCAGAGAGAGUAAGGGCUGGGUAAGACGGGUGCCAGCCGCCGCGGUAAUACCUGCAGCUCAAGUGGUGACCGUUAUUAUUGGGCCUAAAACGUCCGUAGCCGGUUUAAUAAAUGCCUGGGUAAAUUGUGUAGCUUAACUAUACGAAUUCCGGGUAGACUGUUAAACUUGAGACCGGGAGAAGUUAGAGGUACUCCUGGGGUAGGGGUGAAAUUCUGUAAUCCUAGGGGGACCACCAGUGGCGAAGGCGUCUAACUAGAACGGGUCUGACGGUGAGGGACGAAGCCCUGGGGCGCAAACGGGAUUAGAUACCCCCGUAGU
rnacentral:rRNA from 1 species